GUCAAUCCUGGUUAAUUCGUAGAGAGGACAUCCCCUUUCCGUACCAAGCUUCUCAGGGAGAUGCUAGGAAGGGUUUUCUGCCUGGAAUUUCACAGGGAAAGAGAAGUCUCUUUAUAAGGGAAAUGGGAGCUGACUGUUCAGAGCAGCAGAAAACCUCAACUGCCCUGAUCCAGAGAGAGACUGUCAACCAUCUUCCAAGAGCGCAGAAGCGGCUGAGCGGCCCCACGCGGAGCGGCGAGGAGAACCUUCGCAGCAGGUGCACCCAGGAGGCAGGGCUCACAAUUUUUGGAUCCCCAGGACUGGACAAUGACAUAUUGCUGGGUGGCAAUGCGUCUGAAGAAACUGAAAAUAACAGCAACAACAAAAAGAUUUAAAAGAAAAACGGAGGUUAAAAAAGAGUUGGUAAAUGGCAGCGGAGCACACAGAGGGAAACUCUGAGCCAGAGUCCAUGCCGUCACCUGGGGAAAGGGACAGCCCCCCAGCACAUAGUUGUAUAUUCUAGCUGUGAGUGCCUCUGGCUGUGCUAUGUGGGACGCCGCCUCAGCAUGGCCUGAUGAGUGGUACCAUGUCCAUGCCCAGGAUCUGAACCAGUGAAACCCGGUCCACCGAAGCGGAGCCCACCAAAACGGAGUGCACAAACUUAACCACUGGACCAUGGGGCCGGCCCCUAGGUGUUAUCUUAAAAGGACGGAAGGUGUAACGUAGCAGGAUAAAUUCAUUCUAGAAAACACAACACAUGUGAAUCAAUGAGCCUUUAUUGAGCAUCGAUUCCGGCCAGCAUUCAAUACAAGAUAAAGUAUGAGCGAAUAUUCCUGUCUUCCUGAAACUUACCGCCUAACUGCUGUUCCAAGGGUAGCACCCAGGCAAUAACCAAAGAACAAGACACAGAAAUUAAUUGUGUCAACUAGUAUGGAAGACUCCAAGAGCUGCAGACCUGAAUGAGCCUAAUCAUAUGAACAGCCAUUGAUUCCAUAAACAGUCACUGGGCAGUUUCUAGAUGUCGGGUACCUUGCUGUUGCCAUGUUGGACCCACAUGCACACAGAAGUUGACUCUUUGCCUUCAGGGAGCUUACAAUUGCUUUAGGGUGACAAGACAGACAGGCACAGGGAAAAGUAAUAAUCCUUGCAGCACUUCUUCAAGACUUCAAGCACCUUCAGAUCUACGGGGCAUUCCUUUCCUUUCUUUCAGUUUAAGUUUCCUUUUAUUUUGAAACUGAAACAGCAAAAUAAAGUGGUUUGGCUGAAACAACCUUCAGGAAAAGAAAGUGGAGCUUUUGUCAGUUAAAAAAAGAACUCCAACCUUUAUGCCAGCUCUCUACCUCCUCAGAAAAAGGAGAGGACAGAUUAGAGAGAGAAAGGGCACAAUCAAAUCAGGGGUGACAAUGGCCAGCAGAUUUACAGCAAAGGUCAACUUUCAAAGUUUCUCCAAUUACAGAAAAAAAAGGUAGCAUUUAAACUGAGAAAUAAUCACAAGCUGACAAACCCCUGACCCACUUGCAUUCGUAAAAAUCUUUGUUCCUUUUCUUGGGGGCAGUGAUGACUUGGGACAAGCAGAUGGUCCCAGCUCUCUUUUGGUUUCUUCCGCUUUUUGGAAGCAGGUUUGGGAUGGAGUGGUGAUGCCUUAUCCUCCCCACUCACAGACUCUGCACGAUCUCAUGGUUUCCACCAUUUGUAUUCUCCCUGACUCCCAAAUGCACAUCUCCACCCUAGUUCUUACUCCCGAGUUUUUGACUUGUGUAUUCAACUGUCUCCUUCUUGACUAUCUCAAAGGCAUCUCAAACUCAUCAGGUCUAAAAGGAAAUUCACCAUUUUCCUCACUAAAGUCCUUCCUCGUACUGUAUUUCUCUCUCAGUAAUUGCCAUCCCUGUCCACUCAACUGUUCCAGUCAGAAUCCUGGGAGGUAUCCUUGACUCUGGUCACUCUGGCUUCCAAUAUAACUUAUCCAAUCCUGUAGAUCAGCCUUCUCAGAAUUACCUGUGCCUUCCCUUCUUCCCCACUGAGCCUGUCUCAGUUCACUUCAUAUAUGGUUCACUAAAAUAGCUUCCUGAGGGGCUGGCCCCGUGGCCGAGUGGUUAAGUUCAUGCGCUCUGCUUCGGCGGCCCAGGGUUUCGCCAGUUCGGAUCCUGGGCGCAGACAUGGCACCGCUCAUCAGACCAUGCUGAGGCAGCAUCCCACAUGCCACAACUAGAGGGACCCACAACUAAAAAUACACGGCUGUGUACUGGAGGGCUUUGGGAGAAAAAGGAAAAAUGAAAUCUUUAAAAAAAAAAAAA
ensembl:lncRNA